rnacentral:lncRNA from 10 species
UUUUAAAUGGCAAGAAACAAAUCAUUUUGCAUAUAUAUACUGAGGAGAGUAAAGAUCACUUGAUGACCAUCUGGAGGCAAAACCCCUUAUCUGAGGCAUUCAAGAAGAAAUUUAUAAGUAACUAGAAUUUCUAUACAUCUCUAGAAUGUACGCAUGUCCAAACCCAUUGUGCAACCUUUGCUGACAUCAAGGCACCAAAAUGUCUACGUAACAAAUAUGGCUGGAAUUAUCCUUCAGCUCCUGCUCCAAGAACUGUAUCCUUCAAGUUUCUCCAGCCUUGUUCCUGUUGACAUUUGAAGUUGGUAAUUUCUUGUGAUGGAGGCUCUGCUCUGCAUUAGGGGAUGUUUAGUAGCCUCCUUGGACUCCACCCACUAAAUGCCAACAGUGAAACCACCUUUGCAAAAUUGUAAUGGAGGAAAUUAUGACAGAGAAAGUAAUCAGACCUAACUGACUCCAUCUUGCUUCUAACAUUUAAGCUGCCCUUGUUCGUUCCUGGGCAUAGGCCGAACUAACUUUGGGAAGGAAUUCAGUUCAUGGUUUGACUCUGAAACAAAAUUGAUAAUAGCCCUUUCACAAAAAGACCCCCUUCUUGCAUGGGGACCAGUCUGCCUUUGCAGGACUAACAAAUUAGCUACAAGAUUAGAAAUUGCCGUUUAGGGGUCAUGCAGCCUCUGUCUCCAAGAGUCUGAACCUCCUCAAAUUGCUUCUGAGGAUAACGUCUGUCUCCAAGAGUCUGAACCUCCUCAAAUUGCUUCUGAGGAUAACGUCACUAUUGUAUAACCUAAGAUAGUGCUUGAGAUAUUUUGCAGCCCCUGCACUGGAUCGAUCAGCUGACAGCACCCAGACAGGUAAUCUGGCUCAACCAGUUCUGCCAUCCCACCCAGGAACAGAAAACAGCAAGAAAACCUCACUUCAACCCCCUAUGAUUCCAUCUCCAACCUGACCAAUCAGCACUCCCCACUUCCGAAGCCCCUGGCCCCCAAAUUAUCCUUAAAACUCCGAUCCCCGAAUGCUCGGGGUAGACUGAUUUGAGUAAUAAUAAAACUCUAGUCUCUAGCACAG